GUAGAUGUAGUUUAAACAAAACGCUAAACUGUGAAUUUAGAUAUAGGAACUUAAAACCCCUUAUCUACC
rnacentral:tRNA from 1 species